rnacentral:rRNA from 1 species
UGGGGAAUCUUGCACAAUGGGGGCGACCCUGAUGCAGCGACGCCGCGUGAGCGAUGAAGCCCUUCGGGGCGUAAAGCUCUUUCGACCGGAACGAUAAUGACGGUACCGGGAGAAGAAGCUGCGGCUAACUACGUGCCAGCAGCCGCGGUAAUACGUAGGCAGCAAGCGUUGUUCGGAGUUACUGGGCGUAAAGAGUGCGUAGGCGGUUUUCUAAGUUCGGUGUGAAAUCUCCCGGCUUAACUGGGAGGGUGCGCCGAAGACUGGGAGGCUGGAGUGUGGGAAAGGCAGGCGGAAUUCCUGGUGUAGCGGUGAAAUGCGUAGAUAUCAGGAGGAACACCGGCGGUGUAGACGGCUUGCUAGACCAUAACUGACGCUGAGGCACGAAAGCGUGGGUAGCAAACA